GCCAGACAAAUCACAACCCAGCUGCAGCAGGAAAUCAACUUACUGUACAUUAUCACACUGUGCAGUAUCUUCACUUUCAUUAGUGCCUGAUGUAUCAUUAUAUCUAUUAGAUAUUCUUGACAAGGCUUCCUCUGCAUUAAGAUAUUAACAAGGGGAGAGAGAAGACAAAACAGGUACGGGAUGUGCUGCAGACACAGGACCAGUCUCCUGCCCCGGAAAAUCGAUUAUUACCUGGGAGUUACACCUUUGUAAAAGAUUGGAAUGAGGAACCACUUCGAGCCAGAUGGAAGGGCCCAUAUAGGGUACUUUUAACGACCCCGACGGCAGAAAAGCUCGAAGGAAUCAAGACUUGGAUACAUUCCAGUCGCCUAAAGCCGGUGGCUGGACCGGAACAAGAAGAAACCCCUGCAAACUCCAGGACCGGAGGCAGAGAACAGUGGAAGGUGGAGCCAAUAAGAGACUUAAAAUUCCUAUUCAAAAGAAAGGAACUUUAAAUAAUUUGUCAAUCUUUGAUCAAGUUUUACAAGCCUUAUUAUGAAAUUGUUCAAGGUUUUAGUGUGGGGCGCCCUGAUCUGUCCACUCCUACUCAUAGGAGGGGAAAAUCUUUUACAACAAAAAUUUGACCCUCAGGAAAAUGUCUGGAUUUAUCUGGCCCGGGAAAUAUUAAAUAGAACGGACUUCUGCUUAGCGGGAGGGAUCAAUGCUCACCUGGUUUUUACCUCAUGCUUAAUUGCAGUACCUACCCCUUUGAAAAUUUUACAAAAUUAUACUAUGCUGAAAGAUGUAGAUAAGGAAAAUACAUAUCAGGAUAUAUAUAAGUGGGGGACGCUGUCUUAGAGAAUAGAGCCGCUAUAGAUUAUCUCUUGUUACGACACAAUCUGGGGUGUGAAACCUUAAAAGGAAUGUGUUGCUUCAACCUCACUGAUAAUUCUGUGCUAAUUGAAGACAAAAUUGGUGCCUUACAACGAUUGACAGAGACGUUGAAAGAAUCAUCUGGCUUAGACUUUUCCUGGUUAACUUCCUGGCUUCCCAAUUUUGGAUGGUUGAAACAGUUAUUUUGUAUGGUUGUUCUAUUUUGUUUUAUAGGGAUUAUGGUUUGUUUCUGUAUCCAAUGUUUACCUGUUAUUUUAUCUAUCUUCAGGCCUAAGGUAAAUCAAAUGAUUCUGCAAACAAAGAAAGCUGAGGAUACUAGAUUUGUGUUAAGUCAAAUUGAAUGGAGCAAUUAUAAUAAAAAUAAUUAAAAAUGCUCCAGAGGGGGGAAUGUGAGGUUUGACCUAGAAACUACUAUGCAAAGCCUAAGCAAAAGUGAAUGUUAUGUGACGAAUGCCCAUCUGCAAUGAUAAGGAAGAGACAGUCUUAGAUAAAAGGGGCUUGAAAACAAAAGCAGAAUCAGAGUACUAGGCCAAAGAGCUCAUUAAAAUACUAAAAAUCACACCCCUAGGUGGGCAAAAGAUAUGCUAAUGAAACAUGUAUGUAUGUUAAUGAGAUACAUAGCUAAAACACAGGUAUAGAGACAUGCUCAGUAAAGAACUCCUUGCGUCACUCCUUUAUAGCCAAUUAGCAAACAAGGAUGCUUAUGAAGGUUUAAAAACUCCUGUAUAAAAGGGCUUAGUUUUUGAAAUCUAGUGUGCUUGUUCUGUGAAAUUAUUCCAUUUGCACCUUUUAUUGCUAGCAAUAAAUCUUCUUUAUACUUUCA